AUAGUUAUAGUUGAAGCAGAAAAUUUGCUGCAAUAAACAUGAGUCUUCAGCCACCUACCAUACAUCAAUGCAGAUUUCGCCCAUCGUUUGGUCAAAUUAGUCUUGCUAUAAAACCAAAAAAUUAGUGGUGUGUUUGUGCUGGAUUUCUAGCAAUAAUGUAGUGGUUUAAAGGGCUCUUUUGUACCCUUGGAUUCUGAAGACUUCGGUCGGUAACAAGAGGAGGAAUAGAGCCCGAACACCUGAGUUAUCGAAAAAACACAAGAGGGAGAAAUAGGGAAGCUCUUGAGGCUUUGAAUGAGAUGAAAAAACAGUACACAAACUUUUGCAUUGAUGAUGGAGAGAGGUAAGUUGGUUCUAUGGUUCUUUGGUUGGAAAUUUGGUCACUUUAAGUGAUUAAUUGGAACGAUUUAUACCGGGAUUGGGACUUUAUUCUACCAGUAUCAACAAAGCGGAGAAGGAAAUCAAGAAUGGCCAAGAAGGUCGACGACUUGUGUCGUAUGUAUCCUUCUCCAGGCUUGUAGUUUAACUAAGUUUCGAUUAGUGUUAUGGCAUGUUCUUUGCCAAAUAACUUAUAGAAAACGUUUCUAUUAUCCUCCAGAUUUUGCUCGCUGAAACUGUACUCUCUUCUGGAUUUUACUAUCGUUAGGUGAUCGAUCAAGAGUGAGAGAGAGGAGUGCUUGAUUCUUAGGAAUUUACUCACUGAAAAUUGUACUCUUUUUUCUGAUUUUACUGAAAUUUGGUACUUCCUCAACCGAUCGAGCUCCUUAUUUUACUCCGGUAGCUGUACUAUGUUAGGUUCAAAACACUAUUGUAGCGGCUGUCACCGUCAUUCAAAGGAUAGGUGAGAUUUCUUAUUGCUUCAUUUCUGGGUUGGUUAGGUCUACAACAAAGAAGACGCGUGAUUUGGUAUGUUCUGUGGUCUUGUGUUUUGCAGAGGUAAAUUUCCAUUGGUAUUCAGUUUGGAUGAUUUGUGUGAUAUAGUGAUGUAGUUGUAAUUUUGCUUUAGGAUUGCCGAUGUAAAUCAUGUAUGUAUUCCAUUUAUGAUGUUGCUAUGAUCGUUAAAUCCCCUAAUUGACUGGAUUUUAUCAGAACAUGUCACUAGAUUCAGGUACAUAGGCUCAGAAGAACUGUAUUUGUUUUACUAAAAGAGCUUGUUUGCAUCAAUAAUAGAAGUGAUGGGCCAUGAUCUGUGAUGGGCUUUUUCCUCAAGAUGUUUUGCUUGAGAAUUGAGAUUACCAAUGGCUUUGUUCUUAUUAAUAUCCAAUGACACACACACACACACACACACACACACACACACAAAAACAGGUUGUAGAUUCAAUUGCUAUAAUUGGAGUGAGGUUGUGAAUUAUGUUAUGUUGUUUAAAUCUGUCCAGACUCCGGGCAGUGUAAAGGGGGUAGCUAACAUGCUUUAUGUUGUAAUCAGUCCUCUAAAAGUCCAACCAAGGUUAGCCUUCAUAUAUUCAAUGACAAAUUAACAAUAUUCAGUUUAAUGAUUUGACAACUGUUAAACAUGGUACCAGUAUUCAACUUUGUGCUUAGUCUUUCUGAUUCAAGGCACAGCUUAUCACAAACCUGAAACCACGUACAUUGCCAUACCCAUUCUGUCCAUUUUCAAAUUUCAAAUUUCUUUUGGAAGGCUUAGCUCAGGCUACUCAACUAUUAUUAAGCAACAUGGCUUCAAUGCCCAUGCUCACAACAUGAAACAUUACGAUUUUUUGGUGUUUUAUUGGAAUUAGCAUGUUGGUUGUGAUUGCAGGAAAAGGCUUUUAAGCUUCCCCCUGUUGAUUCCCCAGAAUGUUCACUCUAUCUGUUCAAAAGGAAGCUCAGAAGUAGAAAGAAAGAAUCAAAGGUCUUGGAUCUCCAGUUUAGAAGAUCUUUAUACAUUUAGGAUGAGGAGCAACUCAACAAUCUAAAACAGAUUCUAUCUACAGUCCAAAUGGAUGACACAUGAUGUUUUACAAUGGAAAUGGAGUAAUGACCUCACAUUCUCUGUGAAGUCUGCAUACUCUAAAUGCGAGGAUCAUAAGUUUGUGGAAAACAAAGAGAUUUUCUCAACAUGGAAGAACAUUUACCCCCCCAAAAUUGAGCUUUUUGUGGUUCCUGUUAACUAAUCUUGAUGUUAUCGAUGAAAUUAUGUUCACAGUAUACCAAAUUUUGAUGUUCUGUGGCAUUUGUCAAUGACUCAAGAACAACCAAAAUGUGGAUGAAGAUAAACUCAGUACUUGACUCUAAGUUAGGCAAAGACUUUGUGGGAAAAGAGAGGUCUGAUCCUAUCAAAUCCUUUUGUGUGUGUGUGUGUGUGUGGUUUGCUCUUGUUUGUGUCUGUGGUCGUUUUUUUGGCCUUUUUUUUUUUGGGCUGUUUUUUUUUCAGUCCUACUCUGUAGCCUUGGGUAGUUUUUUGAGGGGGGCUGCUGGCGUUGUUUGUCUUUUUUGGGUUUUCUGGGGCUGCUUUGAGAGGGGUUGCUGGCUUUUCCUUGUUUCUUCUUGGUUUUUUGGGGCUGCCUUUCUGAGAUGUAUAGCUUGUUCCUUGUCCUUUUUUGUUCUUCCAUGGUUUUUUUUUGGGUAGUGUCUGGCUGCUGAUCGAUGAGUGGGGUUGAGUCUAUACUGGUUCUAGGUAUUGGAUCUUUUUGUUCCCUUGUGGACACUUUAUUUGGUGACAUCUAGCACAUUGAGCUGGGGUAGGUAAUCAAGGUAUUUCUUUGGAUACUCAUUACUGGAAAGCUGUGCUACAUAAUUGCUGGAUGAUACUCUGAAUGUUUGGUUUCAACUGAUAUGUUUCUGGGCUUGGGGAUCACACCUAGCUUCGAACCAUGGAAGUGUUGUUAUUGAUGCUGAUUCUUUCCUAUCCAAUAUUUAUAUCAUUGGAUGCUGGAUUUAUAUCUCUGCUGGAUGCUUAUAUGAAUGCUAAUGCUGGUUAUGAAGUUUUAUGGUGCAAGCUUUGGUUUUGGAUGUUGACAUUUCUCUAAAUGGAGGUAUUGUUGUUGUGUUACUUAUGUCUUAUGUUACUUGAUGAUGCAUUCUGGGGAGGAUAUGGUAAUGUUGCUGUUGUUUGAUCAAGGCAAAGGAACCAAUUAUGCAACCUUCUAUUUGUUCAAGGCAAAGGAAUCAUUUAUGCAACCUCUUCAUGGAAAUGUUACUCAUUGGCAAGGUGAUUCUCUUCCCUUGCUUUAUUGUAUAGCAAUUUUUCUGUGAAGAGGUCGAUGAUGUGAUGCUAUGUAUACCACGAUUGGAGAAUUUGGUGUUGUUACUACUUGGAAUGAAUUGAAACAUGCUCCGAAUGAAAUGAUCAUUUGGUGUGUUGGAUAUAUACAAUUGUCCAAACUCAGAAUAUUAUCUGGACGUAUGCAUACUGCUUCUGUUAUGGAUGUAAUCUGCUCUUUUUCUUCUCAACUUCUCGCUGAUGCAUUGUGGUGGCUACGUGGCAUGUCAUGUGGUCUCCAUUCUUGCUCUUCUCUUCUCUCCCCAUUCUCUUCUUUUUUUUCCUCAAUAUACCCGUUAUCUCAAGUUUAUCGAU